GACGAACGCUGGCGGCGUGCUUAACACAUGCAAGUCGAGCGGCGCGGCGAACGGGUGAGUAACGCGUGAGUAACUGCCCCCCUCCCUGGGAUAAAAGUUGGAAACGGCUGGUAAUACCGGAUAGAGGGGGAUGACUCGCGUCCGAUCAGGUUGUUGGUGGGGUAGUGGCCUACCAAGGCGAGGACGGGUCGCCGGCCUGAGAGGGCGACCGGCCACAUUGGGCGGAGCUACGGCCCAAACUCCUACGGUAGGCAGCAGUUGGGAAUAUUGCGCAGUGGGGGAAACCCUGAUGCAGAAACGCCGCGUGCGGGAUGACGUCCUUCAGGUUGUAAACCGCUUUCAGCCAUGACGCGGUAGUGGCAGAAGAAGCACCGGCUAACUACGUGCCAGCAGCCGCGGUAAUUC
rnacentral:rRNA from 1 species